UAGCGCUUAUCUGUAUAUUAUGAACAUUCAUUACUAUAUAAAUAAAGCGUAUUUACUUUCAAUUCUAAGUUUACUAAUCGAUCCAUGGUGAUCAUUGACAUAGUAUACAGACCCUCUCUAUUUAAUAAACUCUGUGACCGCCGUGGAUAGUAAACUUGAAAAUGAUAGAAGAUAAAAUUCUGAAAAUACACUUUAUUCGUAGUAUAUGUAUGUUCAAAGUA
rnacentral:lncRNA from 1 species